rnacentral:rRNA from 1 species
GGAGUUAGCCGGUGCUUCUUCUGCGAGUAACGUCACAGAUGUAAGGUAUUAACUUACACCCUUUCCUCCUCGCUGAAAGUGCUUUACAACCCGAAGGCCUUCUUCACACACGCGGCAUGGCUGCAUCAGGGUUUCCCCCAUUGUGCAAUAUUCCCCACUGCUGCCUCCCGUAGGAGUCUGGGCCGUGUCUCAGUCCCAGUGUGGCUGAUCAUCCUCUCAGACCAGCUAGGGAUCGUCGCCUAGGUGAGCCUUUACCUCACCUACUAGCUAAUCCCACCUGGGCUUAUCCAUCAGCGCAAGGCCCGAAGGUCCCCUGCUUUCCCCCGUAGGGCGUAUGCGGUAUUAGCAGUCGUUUCCAACUGUUAUCCCCACAAAUGGGCAAAUUCCCAGGCCAUUACUCACCCGUCCGCCGCUCGUCAUCUUCAAAAGCAAGCUUUUGAAAUGUUACCGCUCGACUUGCAUGUGUAGCUGCCGCCAGCGUCAUCUGAGACAGAAUACAACUACUGA